UUCCUUGGAACUUGAUAAUCAUCAAUUUUAUUUCUAACUUAAACAAAGAUAACAGGAAAAAAAAACAUUCCACCUCCAAUAUUCAAAGAGUUUCUAAAGUCAUUAGUUCAUUAGAAAAUCACAAACAACGCAAUGCAUUACAAUCUUGGUAAGAAUAGAUUAAGUACUUGACUCAGUUUCAUGAUCAGCAUCUCUCGACUACUAAUUCAAUAAGAAUACAAUAUACUGCUGGUAACCCGAUCUUAAAAAAGUUCCGCAGGUGGUUGAGGUAUAAGUACAUUGAAUAUCUCAAUCGGUUUCGUGACUAAGACCUCUUGGACAUACUGCAAACGAGUAACAGGCCUUCUCAAGAUCCAAGAUUUGGGUAUCAAAAUAUCACCUUUUCUGAAAAUACCAGAUAAUCUCAUUAUAGGAAAACCAAACAUUAAUUAGAUCCCCUUACUUCCAUCCCAAAGAACAUCAAACGCGAAAGCCCUAAUUCCAGGCGGUACAUCAUCGGAACAAAAUCCUAAAUCCCGAACGCGAGCAAUGAGCAUUCCAUUCGAAACUAAGAUUAGGUAACCACAAGACUAAAUUCACAGCAAAUAAGCCCGAAAGAUUUCAACUUUACGACAAUCCUACAGAUUCAAAACAAAGACUUUCUGGAAAAUGUCAGAGACGGAUGUGGAAGAAGGAGCAUACUGGGUUGAGCUGUCGAAUCCGAGGAAAAGGGCGUCGCUUGGGAGCAAACCAGCCAUGGCGAAGCCUUCUCGAUCUUUCGAUGAUGGAAGCCAAUGUGUGCGUGAGGAAGAGAGAUGGGGUGAAGGUAGGAGACCCGAUGGAUUGUGG
rnacentral:lncRNA from 1 species